ACGGGUGAGUAAUGCCUAGGAAUCUGCCUGGUAGUGGGGGAUAACGUUCGGAAACGGACGCUAAUACCGCAUACGUCCUACGGGAGAAAGCAGGGGACCUUCGGGCCUUGCGCUAUCAGAUGAGCCUAGGUCGGAUUAGCUAGUUGGUGGGGUAAUGGCUCACCAAGGCGACGAUCCGUAACUGGUCUGAGAGGAUGAUCAGUCACACUGGAACUGAGACACGGUCCAGACUCCUACGGGAGGCAGCAGUGGGGAAUAUUGGACAAUGGGCGAAAGCCUGAUCCAGCCAUGCCGCGUGUGUGAAGAAGGUCUUCGGAUUGUAAAGCACUUUAAGUUGGGAGGAAGGGCAGUUGCCUAAUACGUAACUGUUUUGACGUUACCGACAGAAUAAGCACCGGCUAACUCUGUGCCAGCAGCCGCGGUAAUACAGAGGGUGCAAGCGUUAAUCGGAAUUACUGGGCGUAAAGCGCGCGUAGGUGGUUUGUUAAGUUGGAUGUGAAAUCCCCGGGCUCAACCUGGGAACUGCAUUCAAAACUGACUGACUAGAGUAUGGUAGAGGGUGGUGGAAUUUCCUGUGUAGCGGUG
rnacentral:rRNA from 4 species